rnacentral:rRNA from 1 species
AGACCCGAAACCCGGUGAUCUAGCCAUGGGCAGGUUGAAGGUUGGGUAACACUAACUGGAGGACCGAACCGACUAAUGUUGAAAAAUUAGCGGAUGACCUGUGGCUGGGGGUGAAAGGCCAAUCAAACCGGGAGAUAGCUGGUUCUCCCCGAAAGCUAUUUAGGUAGCGCCUCGUGAAUUCAUCUCCGGGGGUAGAGCACUGUUUCGGCUAGGGGGCCAUCCCGGCUUACCAACCCGAUGCAAACUGCGAAUACCGGAGAAUGUUAUCACGGGAGACACACGGCGGGUGCUAACGUCCGUCGUGAAGAGGGAAACAACCCAGACCGCCAGCUAAGGUCCCAAAGUCAUGGUUAAGUGGGAAACGAUGUGGGAAGGCCCAGACAGCCAGGAUGUUGGCUUAGAAGCAGCCAUCAUUUAAAGAAAGCGUAAUAGCUCACUGGUCGAGUCGGCCUGCGCGGAAGAUGUAACGGGGCUAAACCAUGCACCGAAGCUGCGGCAGCGACGCUGAUGCGUUGUUGGGUAGGGGAGCGUUCUGUAAGCCUGUGAAGGUGUGUCGUGAGGCAUGCUGGAGGUAUCAGAAGUGCGAAUGCUGACAUAAGUAACGAUAAAGCGGGUGAAAAGCCCGCUCGCCGGAAGACCAAGGGUUCCUGUCCAACGUUAAUCGGGGCAGGGUGAGUCGACCCCUAAGGCGAGGCCGAAAGGCGUAGUCGAUGGGAAACGGGUUAAUAUUCCCGUACUUGGUGUUACUGCGAAGGGGGGACGGAGAAGGCUAUGUUGGCCGGGCGACGGUUGUCCCGGUUUAAGCGUGUAGGUGUGUGUUCCAGGUAAAUCCGGUUCACUUUAACACUGAGGCGUGAUGACGAGGCACUACGGUGCUGAAGCAACAAAUGCCCUGCUUCCAGGAAAAGCCUCUAAGCAUCAGGUAACAUCAAAUCGUACCCCAAACCGACACAGGUGGUCAGGUAGAGAAUACCAAGGCGCUUGAGAGAACUCGGGUGAAGGAACUAGGCAAAAUGGUGCCGUAACUUCGGGAGAAGGCACGCUGACACGUAGGUGAAGUGAUUUACUCACGGAGCUGAAGUCAGUCGAAGAUACCAGCUGGCUGCAACUGUUUAUUAAAAACACAGCACUGUGCAAACACGAAAGUGGACGUAUACGGUGUGACGCCUGCCCGGUGCCGGAAGGUUAAUUGAUGGGGUCAGCGCAAGCGAAGCUCCUGAUCGAAGCCCCGGUAAACGGCGGCCGUAACUAUAACGGUCCUAAGGUAGCGAAAUUCCUUGUCGGGUAAGUUCCGACCUGCACGAAUGGCGUAAUGAUGGCCAGGCUGUCUCCACCCGAGACUCAGUGAAAUUGAACUCGCUGUGAAGAUGCAGUGUACCCGCGGCAAGACGGAAAGACCCCGUGAACCUUUACUAUAGCUUGACACUGAACAUUGAGCCUUGAUGUGUAGGAUAGGUGGGAGGCUUUGAAGUGUGGACGCCAGUCUGCAUGGAGCCGACCUUGAAAUACCACCCUUUAAUGUUUGAUGUUCUAACGUGGACCCGUAAUCCGGGUUGCGGACAGUGUCUGGUGGGUAGUUUGACUGGGGCGGUCUCCUCCUAAAGAGUAACGGAGGAGCACGAAGGUUGGCUAAUCCUGGUCGGACAUCAGGAGGUUAGUGCAAUGGCAUAAGCCAGCUUGACUGCGAGCGUGACGGCGCGAGCAGGUGCGAAAGCAGGUCAUAGUGAUCCGGUGGUUCUGAAUGGAAGGGCCAUCGCUCAACGGAUAAAAGGUACUCCGGGGAUAACAGGCUGAUACCGCCCAAGAGUUCAUAUCGACGGCGGUGUUUGGCACCUCGAUGUCGGCUCAUCACAUCCUGGGGCUGAAGUAGGUCCCAAGGGUAUGGCUGUUCGCCAUUUAAAGUGGUACGCGAGCUGGGUUUAGAACGUCGUGAGACAGUUCGGUCCCUAUCUGCCGUGGGCGCUGGAGAACUGAGGGGGGCUGCUCCUAGUACGAGAGGACCGGAGUGGACGCAUCACUGGUGUUCGGGUUGUCAUGCCAAUGGCACUGCCCGGUAGCUAAAUGCGGAAGAGAUAAGUGCUGAAAGCAUCUAAGCACGAAACUUGCCCCGAGAUGAGUUCUCCCUGAGACUUUAAGUCUCCUGAAGGAACGUUGAAGACGACGACGUUGAUAGGCCGGGUGUGUAAGCGCAGCGAUGCGUUGAGCUAACCGGUACUAAUGAACCGUGAGGCUUAACCUUACA